rnacentral:piRNA from 1 species
UUCAUUCUCUGUCCUGGAACAUCCACUGC